UACGUAGGUGGCAAGCGUUGUCCGGAAUUAUUGGGCGUAAAGCGCGCGCAGGCGGUCCUUUAAGUCUGAUGUGAAAGCCCACGGCUCAACCGUGGAGGGUCAUUGGAAACUGGGGGACUUGAGUACAGAAGAGAAGAGUGGAAUUCCACGUGUAGCGGUGAAAUGCGUAGAGAUGUGGAGGAACACCAGUGGCGAAGGCGACACGCUGGGCCGUACCUGACGCUAAAGCGCGACAGCAUGGGGAGCGAACGGG
rnacentral:rRNA from 1 species